UUUAUUUGGGCCUCAUUCUCUCCCAUAUACAACUUUUUCUUUUUUUUUCUUUUUUUUCUUUUUUUAACAGGGAGAGAGAUAGGUAACACGCUAUCCGCUAUAUUUAUUUCAUUUAGAAAUAAACUUAGCUACAAAUGUGAAUCAACUAGGAUUCGAACUUGGGUCUCGGGUACCAACCACUGAGCCCUUUGCCACUUGCUCUAGGGAGAGUCGGUCAUAUACAACUUUGUUAUAAUAUUUUAGAAGGAGCAAAAGCUUAUUGGAGAGCUUCUCAACUAGUUCUUAUGAAGAAGUUUAGAGAACCGUGACAUUCACUGCAUAGAAUUUUAGAAAUCCAUUCCAUCUAAAAGUUUUUCGUCCGAACAUGACAAACAAACUGAUGUAGAGAGUCCAAAAAAGUUGAAUGAGGAGCUCCCCAUUUAUUUUUAUUUUUAUUUUCCUGUAGAAAUAUCUGAAAAGAGCAUAAUUUGCAUAGUGUAGCAUUGCAAAAAUUGCUCUUUCAGUAAAUUGUCAAUGUAACGACUCAACCCGCCAGCAACAAUAACUCAUUAGGCCCAAACCACGAGCCCAAAAUAUUUAAGUCCAGUUAUUAUUACUAGCAUGUGGGGCCUUAUAUAAACUAAUCGGAAUCAGUAUCCCAUCCGAUGUGCAACUAUUUGGGGCGUUACAGUCAAACAAGUAGUAACAAUCCUCUUAUCA
rnacentral:lncRNA from 1 species